GGUCAGUAAAAAAAAUAUUGCAUUUAAACCUUACCAAUUUACAAAAGGUAAACUAAGAGCAUACACAAAGUUUGAUAACAAGCAAAAUCACUUUCUUCAGAC